CAAGUACUCCUUCCGUUCCAAAUUAGUUGACUCAGAUUUGUCUAGAUACGGAUAUAUCUAGACAUCCGUAUCUAGAUAAAUUCAAAUCAACUAAUUUGGAACGGAGGGAGUAGCAA
rfam:Triticum aestivum genome assembly, contig: Triticum_aestivum_CS42_TGACv1_scaffold_602666_7DL